rnacentral:rRNA from 1 species
AUUGAACGCUGGCGGCAGGCCUAACACAUGCAAGUCGAACGGUAGCACAGAGAGCUUGCUCUCGGGUGACGAGUGGCGGACGGGUGAGUAAUGUCUGGGAAACUGCCCGAUGGAGGGGGAUAACUACUGGAAACGGUAGCUAAUACCGCAUAAUGUCGCAAGACCAAAGAGGGGGACCUUCGGGCCUCUUGCCAUCGGAUGUGCCCAGAUGGGAUUAGCUUGUUGGUGAGGUAAUGGCUCACCAAGGCGACGAUCCCUAGCUGGUCUGAGAGGAUGACCAGCGACCCUGGAACGGAGCCACGGUCCAGACUCCUACGGGAGGCCGCAGUGGGGAAUGUUGCACAAUGGGCGCAAGCCUGAUGCAGCGGUGCCGCGUGUGUGAAGAAGGCCUUGGGGUUGUAAAGCACUUUCAGCGGGGAGGAAGGCGAUACGGUUAAUAACCGUGUUGAUUGACGUUACCCGCAGAAGAAGCACCGGCUAACUCCGUG